rnacentral:rRNA from 1 species
AAAUGAAUAGACGGGGGCCCGCACAAGCAGUGGAGUAUGUGGUUUAAUUCGAAGCAACGCGAAGAACCUUACCAGGGCUUGACAUAUACGGGAAUAUGCUAGAGAUAGCAUAGUUCUUCGGAACCCGUAUACAGGUGGUGCAUGGUUGUCGUCAGCUCGUGUCGUGAGAUGUUGGGUUAAGUCCCGCAACGAGCGCAACCCCUGUGAUUAGUUGCCAGCACGUAAAGGUGGGAACUCUAAUCAGACUGCCGUUGAUAAAACGGAGGAAGGUGGGGAUGACGUCAAAUCAUCAUGCCCUUUAUGUCCUGGGCUACACACGUACUACAAUGGCUAUAACAGAGGGAAGCGAGGCAGUGAUGCCAAGCAAAACCCAAAAAGUAGUCUCAGUUCGGAUUGAAGGCUGAAAUUCGCCUUCAUGAAGCCGGAAUUGCUAGUAAUGGCAGGUCAGCAUACUGCCGUGAAUACGUUCCCGGGCCUUGUACACACCGCCCGU